ensembl:lncRNA
UAUGCAUUAUAGUAGAGCUAGGUGACUAGAUUUAGCUGGAGGACAUUCUUUGACAGAGCGGGUUGCUGGAGCCUCUAAACAUUAUUAUAAUGAAUUGAACAGUGUACUUUAGAUUAACAACACAACUCAAACAUUGAGAGGUUUAAUUUGAAAAUAUCUACCUAUACGAUUACGCCAACACAAACACUGUAGCACUGAAUCAAUCCUGGGAACUGGAGUAUGUUUUACAUACAGGGUUGGAGACCCCUAGUGAUAUCAAUAAACCCUGACUGAAAAAGUACACACCAUGGAAAAUAACCUUUUUGUUUUUACAUAUUUGGACACAAGGAUAUCUGAGUUGAAUUCCAACCAUACUCAUUGAUGAAGGCAACCCAAUGCAAAAAAUCACACCCAAAAUGGUGUUUGGAAACACAUCAUGCCAAGAUCAAAAGACCUAACCGAGGACCAAAGAAGAAAGAUUAUUGAGGCCAAAGCCAUUUACAAGUACUUUCCAACCAUUCCACUCUCUGACGAAUUCCAGACCACUGGCAAUCUACAUAGGACAGGCUGUCCCGCCAAAUUCACCCCAAAUGGCUGACUGAAAGAUGCGCAUAGAAGUCUCUUACAAUCCAGGGUCAACAGUCAGAACGAGACCUGGC